UUCUGCAGCAUUGAAGGUCCCCAAGAACACAGUGGCCUCCAUCAUUCUGCAGCAUUGAAGGUCCCCAAGAACACAGUGGCCUCCAUCAUUCUGCAGCAUUGAAGGUCCCCAAGAACACAGUGGUCUCCAUCAUUCUGCAGCAUUGAAGGUCCCCAAGAACACAGUGGCCUCCAUCAUUCUGCAGCAUUGAAGGUCCCCAAGAACACAGUGGCCUCCAUCAUUCUGCAGCAUUGAAGGUCCCCAAGAACACAGUGGUCUCCAUCAUUCUGCAGCAUUGAAGGUCCCCAAGAACACAGUGGUCUCCAUCAUUCUGCAGCAUUGAAGGUCCCCAAGAACACAGUGGCCUCCAUCAUUCUGCAGCAUUGAAGGUCCCCAAGAACACAGUGGCCUCCAUCAUUCUGCAGCAUUGAAGGUCCCCAAGAACACAGUGGUCUCCAUCAUUCUGCAGCAUUGAAGGUCCCCAAGAACACAGUGGCCUCCAUCAUUCUGCAGCAUUGAAGGUCCCCAAGAACACAGUGGCCUCCAUCAUUCUGCAGCAUUGAAGGUCCCCAAGAACACAGUGGCCUCCAUCAUUCUGCAGCAUUGAAGGUCCCCAAGAACACAGUGGUCUCCAUCAUUCUGCAGCAUUGAAGGUCCCCAAGAACACAGUGGUCUCCAUCAUUCUGCAGCAUUGAAGGUCCCCAAGAACACAGUGGUCUCCAUCAUUCUGCAGCAUUGAAGGUCCCCAAGAACACAGUGGUCUCCAUCAUUCUGCAGCAUUGAAGGUCCCCAAGAACACAGUGGCCUCCAUCAUUCUGCAGCAUUGAAGGUCCCCAAGAACACAGUGGCCUCCAUCAUUCUGCAGCAUUGAAGGUCCCCAAGAACACAGUGGUCUCCAUCAUUCUGCAGCAUUGAAGGUCCCCAAGAACACA